UGGCACUGCACAAUCUUAACUUACUCAUGUCAGUGGUGCUGGGACUACUGCUCGUGCAGGUCCCUGCCCACAACUGCUGUUCACUCUGAACCACAUGGAUCUAGAGGUUAAUAUCCACAUGUCUACAGCAUGAUCAGCUUCCUAUCAGCCCACUGUAUGAGCGUGGAACACAGAAUAUCUUGAACUGGAUGAAAAGAUGCUAACAUUUAAAAUGCUACUACAAACUAAAUGCAGAGAGAAUGUAGUCCUACCGUGCAACGGCAUCCCAGAUAUGCAUGGAAGUUACAGUUCUUGUGGAAGGACCGAUCUACUCUCCUGUUUCGAGCUCAUGAUGCAAAGAGAAGAACUCCUCACAGAAAGCUGUUCCCCAGGCUCCUGGGCCUUUCAAGCUGCUCGUUGAGAUUUAUGCUUGUCCCUGAGGAAUCUAGCUAUUUACCUACCCCCUGUGACCACAGGAGCAUUUUACUCAGAUCUCCAGCUGACAAGAGCUGAGCUCCAGACCUCAAACUAAAAGUUUCUAAUUCUAUUCUUUAGAGCACCCAACACAUCUCCUGCCUACCCAUGUCUUACUUCUUGUCUUGAUCUGCACAGAAGUAAAGGUGGAUUUUUCUAAGGUGUUCGGAGCCAAGGAGAUGAGAUUUAACAGACAGAAUCCCAGUUUGCUGAUUCUGUGUGUUAUCGCUAAACAUCAUUGUCUGGUUUUGCUUGUUGAAAGAGGAAACAUCUACAUGACAAACUACAUGAUCCUGAGACUAGGCUCUAAUAAGCUGCAUUAGGUUUAAUAAGCUACAAUACAUAAAAUAUGUUUU
rnacentral:lncRNA from 1 species